rnacentral:rRNA from 1 species
UGGGGAAUAUUGCACAAUGGGCGCAAGCCUGAUGCAGCAACGCCGCGUGAGGGACGACGGCCUUCGGGUUGUAAACCUCUUUUAGUAGGGAAGAAGCGAAAGUGACGGUACCUGCAGAAAAAGCACCGGCUAACUACGUGCCAGCAGCCGCGGUAAUACGUAGGGUGCGAGCGUUGUCCGGAAUUAUUGGGCGUAAAGAGCUCGUAGGCGGUCUGUCGCGUCUGCUGUGAAAACCCGAGGCUCAACCUCGGGCCUGCAGUGGGUACGGGCAGACUAGAGUGCGGUAGGGGAGAAUGGAAUUCCUGGUGUAGCGGUGGAAUGCGCAGAUAUCAGGAGGAACACCGAUGGCGAAGGCAGUUCUCUGGGCCGUAACUGACGCUGAGGAGCGAAAGCGUGGGGAGCGAACAGGAUUAGAUACCCUGGUAGUCCACGCCGUAAACGUUGGGCGCUAGAUGUGGGGACCAUUCCACGGUUUCCGUGUCGCAGCUAACGCAUUAAGCGCCCCGCCUGGGGGAGUACGGCCGCAAGGCUAAAA